UUAAGGGUGGGCCGUCUUUUCCAAUUUUAUUUUAUUUUACUUUUCUUAUGGGGGUGGGUAUGAGGCAAAAUCCCUCUGUCCACCAGAGGUGUAGUCUACCUUACUCAAACCUCUCCCACAAUCUGCCACCUCAGAACACUUUUUUUCUUCCUUAGAAGACCCUCAUAAUUCCCAUAUCUUCUUUGGUCCAUAUGGAAGAGAAGAAACAACCUUACUUUCAACCAACUUCAAACUACCCCGGAAAAAUAGUUCCACACCUCUAGAAGUUGCAACUUAUCCAUUUCUCUACCCCCUUCGAACCUUCCAUCCUGGAUCCCACCUCCCUUGGUGUGAUAAUGUUAAAUUGUGACUCGUCCUUUAUAUGUUUGGCAAUGAUGCGAGUGUAGCAGGGGUGUUUAGGGACUAUGCUGGAAACUGGCUCCUGGGUUUUUAGCAAAAGUGUAAAGUCUAGUCAUCAAAGUCGUCAGGGCUUAUAAGAGCAUAUACAUUGGUUGGCUCCUCAAAAAAGCUCUUGGGAGACUUUUCACUCUCUCUCUACCACUAUCUCUCUACAAGACACGCUCAAUAAUUCAUUCCUAAAAAAUCCAACAUUGGUUGGUUCCUAAAGAAAUUUGUCAUUCGAAGCUCCGAUACAACACUCAAUCCACAAAGGUUGUACUACUAGUGUGAUCCUUGCAACAAUCUGAGAUGGUGCAAGGGAGUAGUUGAGCAAGAAAACAGGGGGCAGCAGCAUGAAGGACAAUACAGGGGAAGCUUAGACGAAGGAGAAAGUAUUGAAAAUAGGGGAAACAGUAAGAUGCAAUAGGACUUGAAGCAAAUGAAGAAAAAACUGAUAUUGUAAUGUCAAUACAAGGCAUCUUACUUUGAUUUUGAAAUGAAGAAAGGCUAAUCCUAUUUAUGUCAUGGUUUGGGAUGGACAUGCAAAACUUAGGACUCAGGAGAGCACGCAAGUACUUUUAGCAAAGAAAGGUCAGGACUUCGGAGAACUCUUAGCAAAGAAAUCGGAGGCAACCAACAUGUGAAAGAAGUCCGAGGGCAUGGUCUUAUUAUUGUUAUAGAGUUGGAUGUACAAGCUAUCCCGCUAGUUGAUGCUUGUCGAAAUUCAGUAAUGUUAAAUUGUUAAUAUUAACUGCUGGAAAAGGAAAAUAGUGAGAUUGGUUCCUCCACUGACCAUAUUAUCGCAGGAGCUCGAAACAGGUUCUGAGAUUCUCCUCAAGUGUUUCCCGUCCCUGGGUUGAAGCAGUUGAGUUGAUUUGUGUACGAUGAGUCGAUGCUUGUCAAAUUUCCUUGUGACAUCAGUAGAUCCAAAGCUCGCAAUUGGCAUAGUAGCUGUAAAUCAGGAAUAAGUUUUCCUACUAGCUUUUCUUUGGAUUAUGCCUUGGGUUUGACGUACAAAUUGUCAUUUCAAGAUAUCCCACUCGUUAAUCAGAACAUUGAUUUUCUUUGA